rnacentral:rRNA from 1 species
GCCCGCUCAGAAACUCAAAUGAAGUUGAGGGGGCCCGGCACAAGCGGUGGAGUAUGUGGUUAAUUCGAUGCAACGCGAAGAACCUUACCUGGUCUUGACAUCCCGGAGACCCUUAGGAAACUAGGGGGUGCUUCCAUCUGGAAGAAUCUGGAGACAGGUGCUGCAUGGCUGUCGUCAGCUCGUGUCGUGAGAUGUUGGGUUAAGUCCCGCAACGAGCGCAACCCUUGCCUUUAGUUGCCAGCAGUUCGGCUGGGCACUCUAAAGGGACUGCCGGUGUUAAACCGGAGGAAGGUGGGGAUGACGUCAAGUCCUCAUGGCCUUUAUGACCAGGGCUACACACGUACUACAAUGGCCGAUACAAAGGGCAGCGACACUGCGAGGUGAAGCCAAUCCCGUAAAAUCGGUCUCAGUCCGGAUUGGAGUCUGCAACUCGACUCCAUGAAGUUGGAAUCGCUAGUAAUCGUGGAUCAGCAUGCCACGGUGAAUACGUUCCCGGGCCUU